AUUACUUGCUUAACUGGUGAAUAACUUACAAGUGUUCCUGAUCUUUAAAACACAGGUGGUUCUGGACGACCGAUAAGACUGGAGCUCUCCAGAAACAUUCAAGGCCAUCAUAGAAUGGCUCACUGGAACAUUUUAACAUUUUUUCUUGGAGUGAGGGAAGAAAUGUUUGUUGGGAAUGCCCUUUUUGCAAAAGAGUUCAAUCUUUUAUGAAAGUACUCAGUAAGACCAGAGAUUAUUCAGUUUGAUCACAGUUCCCUUUAUACUGUUUGGUUCAUUAACUCAACAAACUGCAAUGCUAGUAUGAAAGCAGUUUUUGGCUUCAUUUUAUUAUUAGUAAAUCUGAGAGUGCUACUGCCACCUGAGGAGUCCUCUUGUACUUCAUCUGUAAGAACACAAGAAUCCUAAAAAUUGGGAGGCUAAAAGUCUGCCAUUAUGGAGAUUUGUGAACCUUUUAAGGAAACCCACAGACCUAGGAUACUUUGAUAAGAUGACGACACCAGGAGACAUGUCCUUGCUCAAAACCUGUAAUAGAAGCUAGACAGUAAAGAGUUAAUAAUUCUUCCCACCACAAGAUGUUUAUAUAGAUCUACUUACCCAUGUGUAGAACAAGCUCCCUCCAGGAACCCCCUCAAAUGACAGUACCUUAUAAAAACCUAAUUAACUUCCUCUAAACAAACUUUAGAGAAAAACUGCAGCAACCCCUAAUGACUACGCUUUUGACUCCUGAGUGCCAAUUAUGCUUAACAUUAAAAUACACAGGUAAUAAGUCUUAAACUAUAAAUGGAAAA